rnacentral:lncRNA from 1 species
ACAGUUCAUGGCAUAAUAGCAAAUUAAGCAUUGUAAUAGGCCCAAUUUGCCCGGGCCCAAAAGCACAAAUAUAUAAACCAAAUCAAAAAAAAUAAAAGUCUAUCAAUCCAAUUACAAUGGGCCGAAUUCAGAUUGAAGCCUAAAUACCAGACCCGAUUACAAACCCAGUAGCCCAAAACAAAAUUCAAGAGCAGAAGCCCUAGCCUCUGUCACCUCCGCACGAGCACGCCUCUCCCCACGUACGUGCCACGUCUGCGCCUCCGUACCCAUACACCUGCAACGAACACACAGCAGCAAAAAAUGACAGAAAAGGGGCAACAGAGGGGAUUUGGGAUUGAUUUUAUUUUUUCUUUUCAUUUUUCUGUAAUUCUGGCUAUAAAGCCAUUCAUACAUCUGUAAGGGAGUCCUCUCUUUUCACGAUUAGAAGAAAUAAAAGAACAGAUCCAAGGUUAUUUUUUUAUCAGAUUCGUAGUUCCUUUUUUUUUAUUUUUUUACAUUAAAUAGAAAAUAAAAAGGAAAACGGGUUUACCGUUUAGACAUGGUUCUCGUGCCAUCGGAGUCCUCCGUUGUCGAAGUCGAAUCUAAAGACCACCGAGAGCCUCCUCCUUUUGGUUCUUCGGGGUUAAGAGGGCUUGACCCUCAAAGAUCUUGCGAGCCAUGGGCUAAAAGUGCCCUUUUGCGUAUCGCCAACCAUCGCGCACGGUGGGGAUAAGGCGGCGCAAGGGCGGAGCCCUAGGCCGGACUUCAUGUGGCUAUAGAGCAGAGAGAUGCUCUCUUUUUUUUUCUUUUUUUUUCG